CAGCAAGGAAAGGGUUAAGAACAUUUUCUAUGCUAUAGCUGUCAUGCGCUUGGACAGUUAACAGCCGUGUGCCGAGUCUGUUGGCAGUUGGGCGGUGGCCAUCUUAGGAGGAUGGGCAGAGUGAAACAGGACCUAGGAGCAGAAGGUGCUGAGCUGAUUUGGUGGUGUACAUGGUGACCAAAGGAGACUCCUUACCUGAUCUUCAAUAAAUCAGAGUCCAGCAGCUGACAAAGAGAGUGUCUAUGGAGUGCUGAGCUGAUUUGGUGGUGUACAUGGUGACCAAAGGAGACUCCUUACCUGAUCUUCAAUAAAUCAGAGCCCAGCAGCUGACAAAGAGAGUGUCUAUGGAGUGGUGAGCAGACUACGUCAGCCCUGAGGCAAAAUAGCCACUUCUAGUGAGAUCCAGGAGCCCCAUUGCAGACUAUACAUUCUCACACUCCCUAUCACAGACUCCCUGGUAUACAAGAGAUCACAGUUUUAUACAGUAAAUUAGCCAGUUUCUAUAGUAAUAACACCCUUUAUGAGACUGAUAAGAGCCAUCAAAUAGCAGUAAGCACCUCUGUGCAGAAGCAGACAGUCAUGUGCCGCAGUUUUCUCAGCACACAGCCAGAACUUUGUAGCGCAGUAAGGAACAAUACUGCCUUAGUUACACAGACAGCUUAAAGGAUUCAGGACUCAAUAUCACAGGGGCCUGCAGCUGAUGUACUGCUCCCAGUCAGACAGUGUAAAUGUAACAAUUGAGUACAGUAACCUUUUUGGAGUACAGGUCAGUAACCCUGUUUCACCACCUAUUCAUUGCAAGCCCUUCCAGAUAUAGAGAGACUGCUCAUAACAGGGACAGAGACACCUUAGCUGCCUAUAUUGCAUUUAAGGAUGAGUCAGGAUUAAGUGGCACAGUUGUAAACCUACUUAUUGCCUGACACAGCCAUGUGGAUAUCGCAGAGAGCCUCCUUUAAGAAAAUAGCACCUACAGUACAAUCAGUUAAUAUUACAUCCAGACUAGCAAAAUAGACUCACAGUUGCCUAAAAAUAGUGUGCUGCAUCAUAUUAGAAGUUGCAAAACUGCACGGCUGGACAGAACCUGCUACACUUCAUUUGUUGUAAUCCAUCCAUUGCUACCUUCAUCCAAGACUUGUAUUAACUAUUCUCAGGAUAUAACUUUCCUAGAAAGGUGCACUAUACUCAAUGUAGCUAGCUACAAAACUAAAGGUUUUUUACGGGGCCCCAAUUAUAAGAGUAUUUUCAGGUGAUUGCUUAAAACUGUAUAUUAGUGUGUAAGGAUUGUCAAAUGUGGAUAUUGUUUCUUGUGCUUUAUUGUUCUUUGCAUGAAAAUGGUAUGUGACUAGCAUAGACAUUGAGGUUAAUCUAAAUUGCCAUUAUAUGAGAUAAUCUCAAAUUUCUACAGCUGAGAAAAACUUAUAGCAGUGUUUCAGUAGAAUAAAAAUUCAUAUAGAGAAA